rnacentral:rRNA from 1 species
AUUGAACGCUGGCGGCAGGCCUAACACAUGCAAGUCGAACGGUAACAGGAAGAAGCUUGCUUCUUUGCUGACGAGUGGCGGACGGGUGAGUCAUGUCUGGGAAACUGCUUGAUGGAGGGGGAUAACUACUGGAAACGGUAGCUAAUACCGCAUAACGUCGCAAGCCCAAAGAGGGGGACCUUCGGGCGUCUUGCCAUCGGAUGUGCCCUGAUGGGAUUAGCUAGUAGGUGGGGUAACGGCUCACCUAGGCGACGAUCCCUAGCUGGUCUGAGAGGGUGACCAGCCACACUGGAACUGAGACACGGUCCAGACUCCUACGGGAGGCAGCAGUGGGGAAUAUUGCACAAUGGGCGCAAGCCUGAUGCAGCCAUGCCGCGUGUAUGAAGAAGGCCUUCGGGUUGUAAAGUACUGUCAUCAGGGAGGAAGGGAGUAAAGUUAAUACCUGUGCUCAUUGACGUUACCCGCAGAAGAAGCACCGGCUAACUCCGUG